AUAAUAGUGUUAGUUCAUCAUCUGCAGUUACGGUAGAUGUCGGUGUUGAAUGCAGACUAGUGUGCAGUGUGCUUGUAGGUAGUGACGAGGGAUCCACAAUUCCGCAUUCAUUCAUCAUGAGCAGAUAGGUUCACAGUAUUGAUCAGUGCAGACUACUGCACUCUGAUCGAGUAGUGACUACGAGAGAUCCACAAUUCCACAUUCAUUCAUUAUGAACAGAUUCCCCCUAUGUAGCACCUAGCACUUGAUGAUGAUGCCGGACGACUAAGAGCAAGUUUAAUAAUACAGCCCACUUGUUGGCUGUAAGAUUUUUUGCAGCCUUCUCCUAGCCUACCCAUACAAUAGUUAGCUAUUCACUAUUAAUACAUGGCC
rnacentral:lncRNA from 1 species